rnacentral:rRNA from 1 species
UACGUAGGGUGCGAGCGUUGUCCGGAAUUAUUGGGCGUAAAGAGCUCGUAGGCGGCUUGGUAAGUCGGGUGUGAAACCUCCAGGCUCAACCUGGAGACGCCACUCGAUACUGCUAUGGCUAGAGUCCGGUAGGGGAGCGUGGAAUUCCUGGUGUAGCGGUGAAAUGCGCAGAUAUCAGGAGGAACACCAGCGGCGAAGGCGGCGCUCUGGGCCGGAACUGACGCUGAGGAGCGAAAGCGUGGGGAGCGAACAGG